rnacentral:tRNA from 1 species
GAGGGAGUUGCUCAAGAGGUAGAGCGCAUGCUUAGCAUGCAGAAAGUCCUGGGUUCAAUCCCCAGCGCCUCCU